GUAAUAUGGGGAACAAAAUAGCAUUACUUCAACGCUCUUAAUAGUAGAGAGAAUAUUAAAUACAGAAGACCAAAGUAUGGAGCUCAUGCGUAGCAGAGCCCCAACUUCGCAGAUCAGAUUCCAGGUCAGAGUCGAUAGAUUAACUCCCCAACCCAUGGCUCACCCUGCUCUAGGUGGGGAAAGCUGAUGCUGCUGGGGUGCCGGAGAACCACCCAGUUUUAAAAGUGCUGCGUUGCCAAGAUAUGCGUAUUUGGGUCCUGGGAAAGCUUCCUGUUUGAAAGAGAUACGCCCGAGGAAAGUAGUGGUAGAGGAGGAUGGACAAAAUGCCUUUACGUAUUGGGUUAGGCCAAUGAAAGGGCAUUCAGUUGGCGUGGCAGUGGACGGAUACCGUCACAUCACG
rnacentral:lncRNA from 1 species